AUACGGAGGAUCCGAGCGUUAUACGGAUUUAUUGGGUUUAAAGGGUGCGCAGGCGGCCAUUUAAGUCAGCGGUUAAAUCGUGGGGCUCAACCCCAUUCUGCCGUUGAUACUGGGUGGCUUGAUUGCUGUGCAGGUUGGCGGAAUUUGUUGUGAAGCGGUGCAAUGCAUAGAUAUGACGAAGAACACCGAUUGCGUAGGCAGCUGACCAGACCGCAAAUGACGCUCAUGCACGAAAGUGCGGGGAUCGAACAGGAUUAGAUACCCUGGUAGUCCGCACAGUAAACGAUGAAUACUUGUUUUCGGCGAUAUAAUGUCGGAGGCAAAGCGAAAGCGAUAAGUAUUCCACCUGGGGAGUACGCCGGCAACGGUGAAACUCAAAUGAAUUGACGGGG
rnacentral:rRNA from 1 species